rfam:Prevotella ruminicola 23, complete genome.
CCAAUUAUCAAGGGGUGCCUACGAGUGUAGGCUGAGAUGAUACCCUCUAACCUGAUCUGGAUUAUGCCAGCGUAGGGAUGGAUAGCAGACAAUAAA